AGGAGAUCCUACAGGUUGUCGUCUUUCUUAGCUUCUGGUCUGACACGAGUAGUCAUGGACAAAAAAGAAGAGACAGAAGAUUGCAUGCAGUAAGACACAAGUCACCCAACGGUCAACAGAGCUACGCUGCAGCUCUUCAUAGUUCCGGUGGCUCUAACUGCAGAUCAUUGAGCGCCUUUCGGUCGACCUCUGACCUGUAGCUGCUGUCGAGGGGGCACCUAAGGCGGUUCGGCUGCUCGAGGGCCGAGGGGUCUCCUGCCGCGGAGACACAGAGAGGCGGUAUUACUGUCCGACCUUCCUGGAAGCCAUUACCGGCCACUGUAUCCGAGCACUCGCCCCAGAGGAGCACUCGUCAGCCCCGUCCGCCACACCAGCUUUUCCAGGACGAACGACAACACGGGAGCUGUCGGGGCCGACGGACCGGCAUUGUGGCUCCGCCUGUCCGCCGGCGGCCCGUUUGUUGAUUCAGUCGCGGCACGACGAUCCUCCUCCCACCACGGAGCCCCGCGGCGCGACGACCGG